rnacentral:rRNA from 1 species
AUACGGAGGGUGCGAGCGUUAAUCGGAAUUACUGGGCGUAAAGCGUGCGUAGGUGGUUCGAUAAGUCAGAUGUGAAAGCCCUGGGCUUAACCUGGGAACUGCAUUUGAUACUGUCGAACUAGAGUUUGGUAGAGGGAAGUGGAAUUCCGGGUGUAGCGGUGAAAUGCGUAGAGAUCCGGAGGAACAUCAGUGGCGAAGGCGGCUUCCUGGACCAAAACUGACACUGAGGUACGAAAGCGUGGGGAGCAAACAGGAUUAGAAACCCCAGUAGUCC